UCUUUUCUACUUUGUCUCUGUUUUUCAUAUCUAUAACUCUUUUUGUUAGUGUCUCUGUUAUGGUUUUUUGUUUUUUGUUUUUUGUUUUCCUUAAAUGUUUAAUCUUUUGGGAUAUUUACUUUGAGGCAUAUAUGCCAUCUGUUUGCAUGACAAUUACAACUAACAUCUUCUUGACACUGGAUAUGGAAUGGAUUAAAUAAAGGUUCGAAUUUACGUACUCUAGGCCCCUGUUCUUCGUUCUGGUUAAGUACUCAGAACGGUAGAAUAAUCAGCAGCAAAAGAAAGGAAAACACUUUGUGAUUAGAGUUGAACAUGGAAGUGUGGUAGCUAAUGUUCAUCACUUUCAGACCAUGUAUAGGAUUGUUGAGAAAAACUGUGUGGCUAGAGUACCUUUAUUAAUUCAGGAAUUAGCUGUUCAUGUGUGUGAUAAACUAGUUUUUGGUGAU